rnacentral:rRNA from 1 species
UACGGAGGGUGCAAGCGUUAUCCGGAUUCACUGGGUUUAAAGGGAGCGCAGGCGGAUUUGUAAGUCAGUGGUGAAAGGCUUAAGCUUAACUUGGGAACUGCUAUUGAUACUAUAAGUCUUGAAUGUUGUUGAGGUUUGCGGAAUGGGUCAUGUAGCGAUGAAAUGCAUAGAUAUGACCCGGAACACCUAUUGCGAAGGCAGCAGGCUAAACAAAUAUUGACGCUGAGGCUCGAAAGCGUGGGGAUCAAACAGG